GACGAACGCUGGCGGCGUGCCUAAUACAUGCAAGUAGAACGCUGAAGAGAGGAGCUUGCUCUUCUUGGAAGAGUUGCGAACGGGUGAGUAACGCGUAGGUAACCUGCCUUGUAGCGGGGGAUAACUAUUGGAAACGAUAGCUAAUACCGCAUAACAAUGGGUGACCCAUGUCAUUCAUUUGAAAGGGGCAACUGCUCCACUACAAGAUGGACCUGCGUUGUAUUAGCUAGUAGGUGAGGUAACGGCUCACCUAGGCGACGAUACAUAGCCGACCUGAGAGGGUGAUCGGCCACACUGGGACUGAGACACGGCCCAGACUCCUACGGGAGGCAGCAGUAGGGAAUCUUCGGCAAUGGGGGCAACCCUGACCGAGCAACGCCGCGUGAGUGAAGAAGGUUUUCGGAUCGUAAAGCUCUGUUGUAAGUCAAGAACGAGUGUGAGAGUGGAAAGUUCACACUGUGACGGUAGCUUACCAGAAAGGGACGGCUAACUACGUGCCAGCAGCCGCGGUAAUACGUAGGUCCCGAGCGUUGUCCGGAUUUAUUGGGCGUAAAGCGAGCGCAGGCGGUUUGAUAAGUCUGAAGUUAAAGGCUGUGGCUCAACCAUAGUUCGCUUUGGAAACUGUCAAACUUGAGUGUAGAAGGGGAGAGUGGAAUUCCAUGUGUAGCGGUGAAAUGCGUAGAUAUAUGGAGGAACACCGGUGGCGAAAGCGGCUCUCUGGUCUGUAACUGACGCUGAGGCUCGAAAGCGUGGGGAGCGAACAGG
rnacentral:rRNA from 1 species